GGGCACCAACACUAAAAGCGGUAUCAAUACCUGAUGUGGAUUAUUCUCUUUAUAAAGAUAACUCUCAGCAACCUCAUCAGGUGUGUGCAGACAAUAAUGUAGUAUACUUCAAUUAAUCUCAAUCACUACAUAACAAGUCUCUUAUUCUUCAUCUGUUUGCAUAAAUUAGCCAGACCAAUAAACAAUGUUGCAUAAAAACAAUCAAACCAAUUUAAUGGUAGCAAUACAUUGCUUCUAAUCAGCCCUUAGACUCAUUCAUCUUGGACUGUUAACUUAACUUGGUUUCUUCAAUUAACUUGGACUGCAGAUUCACACAAACUUAACAUGGUUUCUUCAAUUGCUUGGACGGGUAAUUUGGUUUCUUCUAUUGCUCGUGAUUGUUCUAAUACUCUUAUUCUGUUUCACACUUUGAUAAAUGCUUAAUUAAAGUGUUUACUGAUAUACCUGUUCUCUUAUGCAUUUGUUAAGUACCAUGUUCUUUUCAUAAUUUUUCUGUUAUUGUUAACAUCUUCUUGAUUUUGUUUUCUAUAAUCAUUCUUUCUGUUAUCCAAACUGUUAAUGCUGUCCUUUCAUACAUGUGCCUCCAUUAUUUUGGGUCCCGAACAUCUUCAUUGAAUCAUAAUGGUGCCCAUCAUAUUGAACAAUUGGAGAACGAACUGGCUGAAAUGAGAAGGACAAGACAAGAAUGAGAACAUGAAAUGCAACGUGAAAUUGUCGAAAUGAGAAGGCAAACACAAGAAAAGGAAGAGCAGGGACAGCAAAACUUUGAUCCUUCAAUUGAGUUUUUUGUUUUAGUACAAUAGGUAUUGGCUUUGCCAAACUUUGUUCAUUCAAUCGAGUUUCGUACACUAUUAUUAUUAUUUCUUUUCAGAGGAUUGCAUAAAGCUGAGACUUGUUGAUGUGGGACUUGGAGGAGGAAAAGUAUAGCUGGUACCAAGUUAUGCACACUUUUGGAACUUGUAGGAAUUAGGUGCAAAGCAUUUUGAUAUGUUUUUACUUUAUAGUUGGUAUUUUAUUUUAUUGUAUCUGAAAAAUAUGUGAUUGUUCGAAUUUAUGAAUAAUUUUGUUAAAUGGAAGUAUAUUACGGUGUAACUACUUUGUAUAAUUGUAUUACUUUUUAAGUGCCAAUUACAGGCUGUAUUGUAACAAUGAUUUAAGGAAGG
rnacentral:lncRNA from 1 species